AGCGAACGCUGGCGGCAGGCCUAACACAUGCGAGUCGAACGAACCUUUCGGGGUUAGUGGCGGACGGGUGAGUAACACGUGGGAACGUGCCUUUAGGUUCGGAAUAACUCAGGGAAACUUGUGCUAAUACCGAAUGUGCCCUUCGGGGGAAAGAUUUAUCGCCUUUAGAGCGGCCCGCGUCUGAUUAGCUAGUUGGGUGAGGUAAUGGCUCACCAAGGCGACGAUCAGUAGCUGGUCUGAGAGGAUGAUCAGCCACAUUGGGACUGAGACACGGCCCAAACUCCUACGGGAGGCAGCAGUGGGGAAUCUUGCGCAAUGGGCGAAAGCCUGACGCAGCCAUGCCGCGUGAAUGAUGAAGGUCUUAGGAUUGUAAAAUUCUUUCACCGGGGACGAUAAUGACGGUACCCGGAGAAGAAGCCCCGGCUAACUUCGUG
rnacentral:rRNA from 1 species